CAGGUAAAUAUGCAGCUAAUGGUAUAAAAACGUUUUAAACCCAUUAAACCCUGCCACUUUGUGUCAGUCCUGCUAUUCAACUUUUUCCCCCCCCCACAUUUAUACUUUACAAAACCAUAAUUAAAUAUGGCUAAGUCAUUGUUGGGAUGGGAUACCUUUCAGCGGUUCCCUAUGGGCUUUUCAGGGAUUAUGUGGGUGCAGUGUUGGUCUUGGUACAGGUUUUCAAAAUGGACAAAAAUCCACCGGUUGCAGCAAAUGAGGCGUUUCUCCAUUCUAAAGAAACCCUUGUGGGUUUGCCGGGAUAAUAAACUCUCUUGUUCUGGACUCAGUGGGGGUUGUAGUUCCCAAAGGCACUCAAGCGGGGUCGCUAAUGGUCUUCUCAUCGCUCCAGCUCAGUGACCCCGUGAGAGGCUGCCUCAUGUGGUCCAGGGCCUCCCAAACUUGACACCCAGGCCUCCCAUUGCGCAGGACAAUAGACCACAGCGCUGGCAGUCAGAUUUUUUUUUUAUUUGGUCAAUUUAAAGAUGUUUUUUCUUUUUUUAAACUUGUGAUUAUGUCCUAAAUCUGACUUUAUCUUGACAUGUUGAUUACGGAGAGCAUUUUAUUUUCUUUAUAAGUUCAAGUGCUUUAAGUUGAGUUUCCAGGGAAGCCCCCCUACACACAUACACACACACACACCUCACUUUUCAGUAGCCUACUAUGAAGGAAAACUAGGGCACACUAUGAAAGGCUGUAUUACAGCUGACCCUUCCGAAUGUCCUCAUUCUGUAGUCUCCUCAUUUCGCCUCCUUAAAUUGUACCUGCCCUCCAUCUACAAUACUACAAGGAGUGGAGAGCAGAUAACUUGUAAACAGUGCUUUGGCACAGGGAUUAUUGCCCAAAGUUAAGGAUGGAGAAUGACCAUAUAGGGUCCUAAUCAAUAAAUAUAGAGAUAGACUAAGGAGGCUAGAGGAGGAUCAGAGAGGGAUAUGGAGGAAGAUAACUGCUUGAGACCACCAAUGCUUAGCAAUCAGGCCGAACAUGACAGCUUGUAGACCCAACCAAUUAUUUACCCCAGCCAAAUCAAUAGAGCUCUCUCCGAAAGAUAGCCAUCAGCACCACUAUCUGGAACACAUUCGCAGCAGAAAGUACAAGCACACACUGAGCACUCUGCUCGCUGCCACUCUCGCUCUCUGUCUCUUUUGAAAACGCACACACGCACUUCCCUCAGAGACACUUAGUUAUCAGGCUUCCUUAGAAA
ensembl:lncRNA